rnacentral:rRNA from 1 species
UACGGGAGGCAGCAGUGGGGAAUAUUGCACAAUGGGCGAAAGCCUGAUGCAGCUAUGCCGCGUGUAUGAAGAAGGCCUUAGGGUUGUAAAGUACUUUCAUCGGGGAGGAAAAAACAAAACUAAUAAUUUUAUUUCUUGACGUUACCCGAAAAAGAAGCACCGGCUAACUCCGUGCCAGCAGCCGCGGUAAUACGGAGGGUGCUAGCGUUAAUCAGAAUUACUGGGCGUAAAGAGCACGUAGGUGGUUUUUUUAAGUCAGAUGUGAAAUCCCUGGGCUUAACCUAGGAACUGCAUUUUGAAACUGAAAUACUAGAGUAUCGUAGAGGGAGGUAGAAUUCUAGGUGUAGCGGUGAAAUGCGUAGAUAUCUGGAGGAAUACCUGUGGCGAAAGCGGCCUCCUAAACGAAUACUGACACUGAGGUGCGAAAGCGUGGGGAGCAAACAGGGAUUUAGAUACCCGU